AUCUUUGUUCUGGGGAAAUUAUGCAGCUAGUGAUUUUCCAACCGAGACGUAAGUAUUGUUGUUAAAAAACUAUUCCCAACCCUUUGUUGGGAGUUGGGCCUGGCUUCGCUGCUAAUCCCUGACAAUUUAUGAAAGGGCUCCCUCUGGCC
rnacentral:snRNA from 1 species